ensembl:miRNA
AACAUUCAUUGCUGUCGCUGGGUUGGACUGUGUAGAAAAGCUCACUGAACAAUGAGUGCAAC